UACGUAGGGUGCAAGCGUUGUCCGGAAUUAUUGGGCGUAAAGAGCUCGUAGGCGGCUUGUCACGUCUGCUGUGAAAACUCGGGGCUCAACCCCGAGCCUGCAGUGGAUACGGGCUAGCUAGAGUGCGGUAGGGGAGACUGGAAUUCCUGGUGUAGGCGGUGAAAUGCGCAGAUAUCAGGAGGAACACCGGUGGCGAAGGCGGGUCUCUGGACCGAUACUGACGCUGAGGAGCGAAAGCGUGGGGAGCGAACAGG
rnacentral:rRNA from 1 species